rnacentral:rRNA from 1 species
CAGAUGUGAAAGCCCGGGGCUCAACCUCGGGAAUUGCAUUUGAAACUGGCAAACUAGAGUACUGUAGAGGGGGUAGAAAUUUUCAGGUGUAGCGGUGAAAUGCGUAGAGAUCUGAAGGAAUACCGGUGGCGAAGGCGGCCCCCUGGACAGAUACUGACACUCAGAUGCGAAAGCGUGGGGAGCAAACAGGAUUAGAUACCCUGGUAG